UGCUUUCUCAGUACUUUACUUGUCUGUCUCGUGUAAUUACGUAUCUCAAUGUUCUAAAUUCACCUGUUCUACCGAACAUAAACUAUUUAUGUGCAAAACGGUAUUAAUAUUCUGAAGCCUACUAUUCAACCUUAUCUAUAUUCUACAUCAACUAGAUCCAAGAGGUGGAAGCUAUGCUAUACAAAGACUUAUUUUAUUCUAUCAGUAAUUUGUAAUUUGUUACUGGGUAUUUACAUAAUCAACAUCAACAUAUUCCAAGACUAAACACACUUAUUAUAUAUCAAAGCAUAAACAAGAUGUUCACCUUUCGCAAAUGUAUCGAGUUCGUGAAAUAGUUUGACAGCCAGGAUGAUGUCAAGCCCAAAAUGGUAAUUCAAUUGUCGGGUCAUGCAAAUCAAGUACACAGCGUCAACGGAAACGAAUUAACAUUAGUUACAGCUUAUUUUAACAUAGGGUCAUUUAAAAAAACUCCGAAUUUAAUUUUUUCUAAAAGCACAUAUUACAAUUGGAUGAAAGGCUUUCAGUCAGUAAACAACUGUGUUAUUCUUUAUACGGAUCAACUUGAUUUAUCAGUGCAGUUCAAAUUAUAUCGCAGACAUUUCCCAAUCCAUAUGACUAAGGUAUUCAUUCUGAAUCAAACAAGUCUUUGGGCUUUUGGUUUGCAACCACGAAUCAAAAAGAUUUACAACCAAAAAGGAUACCCAAUUCCGGGUCGACCUGCUUAUUCAUCUGCAAUGCAUGCUAAGUAUGAAUUGACCGGAAGAGUAAUACAAGAACAAAUAUUUACGACAAAAUAUCUUGCAUGGAUUGAUAUAGGCUAUCUUAGAAGAAUGAGACCUGACUGCUUUCAAAUGAAACCGCCAAAAAGUAUGAAAGAUGAUCAUAUUUCAUUUUCGCAAGUAGCUUUUUUCAACCCAAACUUAACUCUUAAGGAAAUUAUGUAUAGAACUAAAUAUUAUAUAGCUGGUGGUCUUUUCAUUGGAAGACCAGAAUAUCUUUCAUUGUUCAUAGAGGAUUAUAAAAUGGCCGUAGAAAGUUUACUUAAAAUGAAAUUGAUGAACUCUGAUCAGCAAAUCUUGUAUGCAAUGUAUUCAGCAAAAUUAUUUUUUCAGCCAAGAAUACGAAUUCAAACAUUCUUUGACGAUAAAAGUUUGAAAACAGCAAGACCUAAGCGAUGGUUUUAUCUAGGUAAUCUAUGUUCAGAGGUCAAUAAACCGAAUGUCAGUAAAGAAAAAUGUAUCUUUAAUUAGAUUUUAUAUUAUUCAUUUUUUUUACAUAUAAAUUAAAGGUGAUGUGAUAUGAUCGUCAAUGAGACAACUAUCCUCCAGAUAGCAAAGGACGAUAAUUCAGAACGAUACAUUAAUCCCAAAAGGAGCAAGGUAAUAAGAUACAUGGUACCAAUAUUAUUGUACCAGAGCUUUGCUUGAGGGAGAUACAUUCAUUAACCUUUUUAUAAAAAUCAACAAUUUUUACUAGCAAUUUUCACUAAACAAAUAUCCGCUUUUUCAGCGUCUUCAACUACACAUGCAACAAACAUAAGCGAAUCCAAACUCAGUCAAAAUGUGAAGUAGCAAAUAGGACAUGGUCGGUUAAUCAAACGAAUAAAUGGGAAACAAAUACUGCAGACUUUAUCUAACGACAACUAAUGAAUUACAGACUGCACUGAUUAAGAACAUACAGAAUAUGCCAGAGGUAAUCAUGUUUGAGAGCACUGAACACAUCCCCUACCCUAGGAAAAUAGCCAACAACACCAAUUAAGACCCAAAUAUUAAAAUCACUGGGACAAGACUUGGAUUAUCAGAUUGUCGUGAAACACAAACCACAACAAACAAAAAACCAACAGUAACACAAAUAAUUGAACUAAGAGUAGUCGUGGUUACUGAAAUCAGGUUUAAAGCAUCUUAAAAAUAAUGAACAAGUCAUAUUUCCCCAGAUUAUCAAUCAAACCACAUCCUACAGUUUGAGUGGACAACAACUUCGAUCGCAUUUUCUGUUAUCCUUUAACCGCAUGAUCGUGAUUCGGCAUAUUCUGUAAAACGUUUGCAUCGAAAAUGUACUUAAUUUCUACAACUUGCUGGUAAACUUUCUUAACCAGCAAUUAUAACCUGUCACGUAUUAUCAUAUUACCAUGAUCAGUCAACUAAUAAUUCUGGGUAAAAAUUGAAAUUUGGCAUAUAUUUUGCUAAACAUUCACAUCAUCAUGAACAUGUGCACUUAGUGUCAAGCUGAUUUGACCACGAUUGGAUAACGCAAUGUCAAAGUGCUAUCGACUGAAAGGUACAAUAAGCCAUAUUAUCACUUUAUUUUACAGGAAAAAUGUUUACGGCAAAUAGAAUUUAAACGAUUAGCAAAACGUGACAACCACGUUAUUUCCAAAUUAUAUUCAAAAAUUAAUGUAUGCUAGUCAACUAUUACAUAAAUGGCCAUGCAAAAGAUAUUGUUCUUAUAUAAAUAUUCCCAAAUUUGUACAAAAUAUGCAAUGUUCAUAUGUGAAAUCAUAAAAAUUGUUUUGAAUAAACAUUGAACGACAAAAUUUCUUCUUAUGUGACGUUUACAUUUUCUGACGUCAGACACGCAAAGCAAUGAAUGUGGUUUUUAAGUUGAUAGAUGCUUUUGUUGCUUUUUUGUAAAUGAUUGUUUGUUUUGAUAUUGUAACACAGUGAUGACUGCUGUACCCAUAUUUUGACUAUUUUAUUUAUUAUGUCUGUUUUGUUCACGCAUCGUUGUAAAUAUAACGGAAUUUGAUGAGACUGUCGUACAAGUGAGAGGUUUAGCGCUAUAAAACCAGGUUCAAUCCACCAUUUUCUACAUUUGAAAAUACCUGUACCAAGUCAGGAAUAUGACAGUUAUUGUCCAUUCGUUUGAUGUGUUUUGUCAUUUGAUUUUGCCAUGUGAUUAGGGACUUUUCGACUGAAUUUUCCACGGAGUUCAGUAUUUUUGUGAUUUUACUUUUUAUAGUAUUACACAUUAAAGUUCUUCGCUAAGAUGUAUAUUUAUAAAGUUUAAUUUUGUUCAUGUUAAAUGUAUGAAAAAUCUGGAGAGCAUCAUUUCCCGCCAGAUUUUUGAUGGAUAUAACACGUCUUCGGCUUGGCUGAAAGUGUUUUGUUUAUCAGCUCAUAGACGCAAUUUUGCCAUGUGACCUCGACGUCAUCAACGUUUUUAUCAUGAUUUACUCCUUUUUAGAAUUAAAUUAUAAGAAAUGACUGUAAAUAAUUUUUCUGUCUAUUCGAAAUAACAUGAAAAAUGUGGUGCACACUUUUAAAUAACCCGCUACUCUUUGUGUUAUAAGAAGCCUAAGUUAAGGAAGUUCUCUUUUCUUGUUUUUGAAUUUUUUGCCAGAUGUUAUGAAUCCUUUGGUUUUAUCGAUGUAGUGCCAUUAACACUUUUGCCCCCUAGCCCCUACUUUUCUUUUCAUAAUUUUAUUUCAUAUAGUUUAAAAAGCCAUAUUUGAAAAUCUUAUCAAAUUCUUCUUAUUUUAUCUUUGUUUUUGAAAGAAGAAUUGUGCCAAUGUUAAAUGUAUGAAAAAUAUAGAGAGAAUCAUUUCCCGCCAAAUUUUCAAUGGCUUAUAUCUCGAAAACAAGCUGACGGAUCCUUCAUUUUUUCUGCUUUUCUAAUUCCCUUAUAUAUAUUCUAUCAUUUAUAACAGUCUUUUAAAAGUCUUGUUAUUUAGAAAAAGAGUAGCGAACAUCCUUAAACCUGGAAACUAAUACUUAAACAUGUUAAAUGACACCAUAAACGUUGCUUUGUCUAAACAUCUGCUGUCAAAAUAAUUAUACAAAUGUAUACGUCCAUCAAACAUUAAAAAUGAAUCAGAUAUAAUAAAACUGUUUUUUAAGUUAACUUUCAAACUAAUAAUUAUGAGUUCAAUUGGAGCGAUUCAGUACAAGAUGCAUAUACAAAUGCAUUUACACCAUUACAUGUAUUACCACAAUACUGAAAUUAAAGAUUUUUACAAAGUUUA